CCUACGGGAGGCAGCAGUGGGGAAUAUUGGACAAUGGGGGAAACCCUGAUCCAGCAAUGCCGCGUGAGUGAUGAAGGCCUUAGGGUUGUAAAGCUCUUUUACCAGGGAUGAUAAUGACAGUACCUGGAGAAUAAGCUCCGGCUAACUCCGUGCCAGCAGCCGCGGUAAUACGGAGGGAGCUAGCGUUGUUCGGAAUUACUGGGCGUAAAGCGCACGUAGGCGGUUACUCAAGUCAGAGGUGAAAGCCCGGGGCUCAACCCCGGAACUGCCUUUGAAACUAGGUAACUGAAUCCUGGAGAGGUGAGUGGAAUUCCGAGUGUAGAGGUGAAAUUCGUAGAUAUUCGGAAGAACACCAGUGGCGAAGGCGGCUCACUGGACAGGUAUUGACGCUGAGGUGCGAAAGCGGUGGGGAGCAAACAGGAUUAGAUACCCUGGUAGUCCACGCCGUAAACGAUGAUAACUAGCUGUCCCGGGUCACUAGUGGUGUUGGGUUGGGUCGGCGAGCUACGACAUUAAGUUAUUCCGUCCGUCGGGUAGGUACGGUCGGCGAGAAUUAAACUAACAAGAAGUAGUAGCGNGNGAGNGCGACGACGACGACGACGGAGGAGG
rnacentral:rRNA from 1 species